rnacentral:rRNA from 1 species
AACGAACGCUGGCGGCAUGCCUAACACAUGCAAGUCGAACGAAGCACUUGAAGUUUUUCGGAAUGGAAAGUGACUGAGUGGCGGACGGGUGAGUAACGCGUGGGUAACCUGCCUCAUACAGGGGGAUAACAGUUAGAAAUGACUGCUAAUACCGCAUAAGCGCACAGUACCGCAUGGUACGGUGUGAAAAACUCCGGUGGUAUGAGAUGGACCCGCGUCUGAUUAGCUAGUUGGUGAGGUAACGGCUCACCAAGGCGACGAUCAGUAGCCGACCUGAGAGGGUGACCGGCCACAUUGGGACUGAGACACGGCCCAA